CCUCUCGACGACGAAGAACUGGUAGCAUUUAUCCUCAAUGGGCUAGAUUUUGAAUAUAAUCCAUUGACUUUUGCUCUCAUAACUAGGGUAGAACCAAUUAUGUUGCCUAAACUGUACUCUCGGUUAUUGAGUUUUGAGA
rfam:Setaria italica strain Yugu1 chromosome III, whole genome shotgun sequence.